GGGAAGGGCAGAUCUCCAAUAAACCCACUCCAGAUAACAAAACUACAGUUCCCUCCGCCGUACAGAUAUAUUUACCCAACCUCCAGCUGCCACUAACCCCAGGCGACAGGACUGGAAAACCUGAUAUACCUUGACUACCUGACAAAUAUACCCUUAUCUGGGUAUAAACCCACCUACAAAUCAACCAGACAGAACUGCCCUUAUCCCAACCCCAGGUGACAUAAUUACCCUUUCAGUAUCACAUGUUGACAGAUAUGAUAUGUCCUAACCCCUACCGCCACCUGUCAGAUCUACCUUUACAUCUACCGCCACCUGUCAGAUCUACCUUUACAUCUACCGCCACCUGUCAGAUCUACCUUUACAUCUACC